rnacentral:rRNA from 1 species
ACGCUGGCGGCAGGCCUAACACAUGCAAGUCGAGCGGCAGCACGGGUACUUGUACCUGGUGGCGAGCGGCGGACGGGUGAGUAAUGCCUAGGAAUCUGCCUGGUAGUGGGGGAUAACGUUCGGAAACGGACGCUAAUACCGCAUACGUCCUACGGGAGAAAGCAGGGGACCUUCGGGCCUUGCGCUAUCAGAUGAGCCUAGGUCGGAUUAGCUAGUUGGUGAGGUAAUGGCUCACCAAGGCUACGAUCCGUAACUGGUCUGAGAGGAUGAUCAGUCACACUGGAACUGAGACACGGUCCAGACUCCUACGGGAGGCAGCAGUGGGGAAUAUUGGACAAUGGGCGAAAGCCUGAUCCAGCCAUGCCGCGUGUGUGAAGAAGGUCUUCGGAUUGUAAAGCACUUUAAGUUGGGAGGAAGGGCAGUUACCUAAUACGUGAUUGUUUUGACGUUACCGGCAGAAUAAGCACCGGCUAACUCUGUGCCAGCAGCCGCGGUAAUACAGAGGGUGCAAGCGUUAAUCGGAAUUACUGGGCGUAAAGCGCGCGUAGGUGGUUUGUUAAGUUGAAUGUGAAAUCCCCGGGCUCAACCUGGGAACUGCAUCCAAACUGACGAGCUAGAGUAUGGUAGAGGGGUGGUGGAAUUUCCUGUGUAG